CUGACCUGUUGGGGUCUGAUAUUUGGCAUUAAAUCCAGCAAAGAGAGGGGCAGUGAGGUCAGAGAGUGCGCUAAACUAAUGAAAGCUCUGUGUUCAACAAGCAAUUACGGAGACAGUUCAUUAUUUUUACAUUAUGUGGGAUCACUUUGGGUCACAUUCUCAGCUCUGCGUUUUCAAAUGUCACCUUGAAGUAAUAUGUGAAUUCUAUGGUAACACAACCUAUAAAAAGCAUCAGCUCUGGAACUCUUUAAAUCAGAGCUGAGCCUACAAAAGCAUGUUUUUCUUGAAUUCAUAAACCUGGCCAAGAAAGGAGUCCGCAUCUGUGUAUGUGAAUGUGUAGGCCCUCUAGUGGUUAAACAGUUAAAAGAACAUGCAAA